AACCUGAGCUAUGUUGUUUGCCAGGUUGCCUGCCAUUCUUGUUACGUAUCAUGUGGUUCAGACCGUAUCCUGAAGAUGUCGCUGUAGUUUCACUUCAUUAUUUAUUCGCCACAGCGGUUAUUCGCUGUAGCUACGUCAGGGGGCGAUGUUGAUCAACAAAUCGGUGUUCUUACCUCGUGGAAAACGCAAGAGAAGCCAAGUCAUUUUGUGCUGACUUUUGUGACAUUUGUUUGGACUCCAGGAUAGGAUUACGGUACAGUACCUGUAACAUCUUGAAACCAAUGUUUCCUUCAACUGCUUAGUCAAACAGUCCCGCUCUACCUGUGAAUGGCCUGCAUACAGUUUUUUCUGCAUAUUAAACUUGCAUUCAGGAAAAAUCCAGACAUCAAAAAGACUCGAACCCCAUCGUCCCUGUCAACUCUGCUCCACAUCACAAGUCCGCCGACAUAUACAGCGAGCCACUGGAUAAAUCGGUAACAGCGGAAAAGCCGUCCACAUGGAGGUAAGCGGUCAGCUAAAAUGGA